rnacentral:rRNA from 1 species
AGCGUAGACGGACUGGCAAGUCUGAUGUGAAAGGCGGGGGCUCAACCCCUGGACUGCAUUGGAAACUGUUAGUCUUGAGUGCCGGAGAGGUAGGCGGAAUUCCUAGUGUAGCGGUGAAAUGCGUAGAUAUUAGGAGGAACACCAGUGGCGAAGGCGGCUUACUGGACGGUAACUGACGUUGAGGCUCGAAAGCGUGGGGAGCAAACA